rnacentral:rRNA from 1 species
GUGGGGAAUCUUGCGCAAUGGGCGAAAGCCUGACGCAGCCAUGCCGCGUGAAUGAUGAAGGUCUUAGGAUUGUAAAAUUCUUUCACCGGGGACGAUAAUGACGGUACCCGGAGAAGAAGCUCCGGCUAACUUCGUGCCAGCAGCCGCGGUAAUACGAAGGGGGCUAGCGUUGCUCGGAAUUACUGGGCGUAAAGGGCGCGUAGGCGGACAGCUUAGUCAGAGGUGAAAGCCCAGGGCUCAACCUUGGAAUUGCCUUUGAUACUGGCUGUCUUGAGUUUGGGAGAGGUGAGUGGAACUCCGAGUGUAGAGGUGAAAUUCGUAGAUAUUCGGAAGAACACCAGUGGCGAAGGCGACUCACUGGCCCAAUACUGACGCUGAGGCGCGAAAGCGUGGGGAGAAAACAGGAUUAGAUACCCUAGUAGUCC